GCUGGAGGACUCCACCCCAUAUCUCAGCUUCACCCCCGGCCAGACCCACAACUCAACACUGAGGCACCAUUACCAGGUGAUCAACCCCAUAACUGCCCCAUAACUGCCCUAUAACUGCCCCAUAACUGCCCCAUAACUGCCCCAUAGUGACCCCAUAACAAUCCCAUAACCACCCCAUAGCUGCCCCAUAACCACCCCAUAUCCCCCCAUACCACCCCAUUGUUCCUCCCCAGUCCAAUGAACUCUAGCCGACCCAUUUCAUUCAUACUUCCCCCCCCCAUUCAUGCAGUUCCCGUCCCAGGUUCAGAUUUCUUCUCCUCCGGCCUCCCCCCGGUGCCCGUACUCGCCAACUCAUACCUCAGCUCCUUCCUGCUGCUGCCCCACAAGCUGCCCCCACGGCAUGGAAUGGAGCCCCAGCGUCACCAUGGACAAUGGAGCCGAGUGCCAAGAGCUGCGGGGACAGAAGGAUGUGGGGCCGCUAUGGGGCCUGGAGAAGGUGGGGUUAUGGGGUGGAUAUAGGGCGGCUAUGGGGUGAUAUGGGGUGGUUAUGGGGGAUAUGGGGUGAUAUGGGGUGGAUAUGGGGUGAUAUGGGGCUGUUAUGGUGAGUUAUGGGGUGUUUAUGGGGUGAUAUUGGGUGGUUAUGGGGUGGAUAUGGGGGAUAUGGGUUGGUUAUGGGGUUAUGGAAUGGUUAUGGGGUUAUGGGGCUGUUAUGGGGUGGUUAUGGGGCAGUUAUGGGGUUAUGGGGCAGUUAUGGGGUGGUUAUGGGGCAUGGGCUGUUAUGGGGUGUCUAUGGGGUUAUGGGACGGUUCUGGGGUUAUAAGGCUGUUAUGGGGUGGCUAUGGGGUGGCUAUGGGGUGGUUAUGGGGUGGUUAUGGGGCAGUUAUGGGGUGGUUAUGGGGUGGUUAUGGGGCAGGCUGUGGGUCUGAGCCCCACAUUCCCCCCCUCUCUAGGGCUGCAUCCCCCCCCACCCCCCCCUGUUGUUCCGCUGCCCCAUGGGAUCCCACUUGGGGGGCAGAGUGACGCUGAGCGCCAACAUCACACCCCCAACACAAGGACAGCCCCCGUUCCGAUCCCAUUUAUGCUCCCGUUUGUGGUUCCGGUUCGGUUCGGGGCUGUUCCAGCAUCACCCACAAGGGGGCGACAACGGGAUGCAGGGCACGACGGAGGUGGAGCUGCUGCCCCCCCCCCCCCCCAUUGCUCUUAAUGUACGUGGGGGGGCUGCGGCGGGGCGGGUGAUGCUGCUGCUCCUAUUGGGCGUCCUCCUGUCCAAGUGCGGCUUCUUCCGGCGAGGAUACCGGAAACGGAUGGAGGGGGCGGAGGGGAAAGACCCGGAUGUGGCUGAAUGGGAGGAGGGGGCGGGGGAAGACCCGGAUGUUGCGGAGGAGAAAGACCCGGAUGUUACGGAGGCGAAAGACCCGGAUGUUGCGGAGGUGAAAGAACAGGAUGUUAAUGGAGGGGAAAGACCCGGAUGUUAAUGGAUGGGAAAGACCCGGAUGUUAAUGGAGGGGAUGGGAGGGGGGAAAAGGGGAAAGACCUGGAUGUUAAUUGAGGAGAAAGACCCGGAUGUUAAUGGAAGGGAAAAACCCGAAUGUUAAUGGAGGGGAUGGGAGGGGGGAGGG
ensembl:lncRNA